rnacentral:lncRNA from 1 species
GUGAGCCAAGAUCACACCACUGCACUCCAGCCUGGACACCAGAGUGAGACUCCAUCUCAAAAAAAAAAAAAAAAAAAAAAAAAGCACCACUUUAGCUGCAGUUAACUUCAUUGCCUAUAAUUUUAUAAAAUAGCCUUCUACUUUUCUUUUUUUAAACAUCAGGGCAUCUAUAUUGCAGCUCCAAAUGCAUACUGCCAAAGUAUGAUUAGGAGUAAAUGGAGAAGAGUGUAAGAGUCUAUGGAACUUGUUAUAACAUGCAUCUUUUAGCUGAAACUAAGCAGAUGUUCUUUUCCAUGAAGGACGCUCCAAACCUUAGCACUAUCGUUACUAUGGAACAUCAGAACCAACCUGAGGGUCAGCUAUAAAACCUGUUACCCUAGAGACUGGUACAGCUUCAUGAUUUGACGAAAUGCCUCCAGAUGCUCUCAGAGUGAAGUUAUGGAAACAAUCCCAUGCUGAAAGAAGAUGCUGAGGUGAGGCACAACAGAGAGGAAGAAUGCCAGGGAAACCUGUCCUGCUGGAGACAUGGCCAAGAAUCACGCAGGGACUUGAGCAUCCUUGGGUUUCCAUAUCUGUGGGGGCUCCUGGAACCAACCCCCAGGGAUACUGAGAGACAACUGACAGACCAAGUGCUGAGAGUCACAGAUGAAGAUCAGGUACUUCUGCCUGGAGGUACACAGAAGGCUAUUCAGGCUUGAAAUUAGGUGGGGCUGUGAGGCAGGUGGUAUGUGUCAUUUCUGAACCAAAGCACAGAAGAAUGGCUCUGAGCUGUCCCUACGCUUUCUUCCCCUGCUGCAGCAAUGAGGAGGGCUCGUGUGAAGAUGGUGGAGCCACAAGAGUAAAGCAGCCUACACCAUCGAACCACUGCCCAGGUUGGCUGCUCCAGUCAUUCCAGUCCACAACGGACUGGGUGUGAGUAACAAACAAACAUUUAUGAGCUGAACCACUGAGAUCUGGUGGUUAAUCUGCUACUAUAUUAUUACUCGUGCUAUCCUGAAUAUGUAAUAUUCAUAUCCCAGGACCCAGUAGUUAGCCUCCUACCUUACAGGAUUUCUCCAUACAAGAAUGCUCAAAGCAGCACUGUAGGCUAUAGUGAAAAAUCGGAAAUAAUGUCCAGCAAUGAAGAAUGAAUUACUCGUGGUAAAGUCAUUCAAUGGAAUACCAUUGGAGAUUUUGGAUAAAUUUCAAAAACAUAUUACUUAAUAAAGUAAUAAACUUACAGAACGACAUGUAGAGCAUGACCAUUUAUAUACAGUUUUAACAUAUCUGAUUUUUAUAGAUGUAUAAAUAUCUAAUAAAAGUAGUUUAAAAAGUAUAAAAUCAUGAAUACCAAAC